rnacentral:tmRNA from 1 species
GGGGGCGUUAGGUUUCGACAGGAGACUUGGACGCUGAUUGGAUGCAUGUCGGGCUUACCUCUUUGCAGCUCGUUAAAAAGCACUGGGGAAAAACAACUGCCAAUACAAAUGAAUUGGCCCUUGCUGCCUAAUUAGGCUUUCGCAAGCGUCUCCGCCGCAAGUUGCUCAUGCGCGCGGAUGGAGAUGUCACACGAGAUGAGCUAGCCUGCCGUUCGUAAUCAGGGGCAGCGGGCGAAGCAAAACUGGUUUAGCUGCAGAGGGGUCUUCGUCGUUUCACUUACCCGACGGCAGCGAACGCGGAUGUAGAAUCCAAAGGAGAAGCGACUAAGCAUGUAGAUUCCGUCCGCGCCGUUUCUUGGACGCGAGUUCGAUUCUCGCCGCCUCCAUUG